UUUUCUGUGCUGGCCGGUAGAACGGCCGCGUCGCCAAGCUGCAGCGGGUGCCGCGGCGGACGAGGCGCCGCUUGUGUCGGAGCCCGAAGCGCCCGCGGAGCUGGCACGGUGGUGGCUCUGCUGUAUGUGGGAGCUCGGUUCCGUCCUCAACUUCCUCCACGUGCGUGUCCCUUUUCUACCAUCAUACCCUACCCCCAGCGGCCGGCAGAUCGGCGUACUGGGUUUGCUUCUUCGCUUAGGCUUCUAGGAAUUUACUGCUAAUCUUUAGUUUUCUUGCAUUAACUAUUUGAGCACAUGGUACAGUAGCAGCAUGGCUGAUGCCUGCUAUUUCAUCGCUGGAACAUACUUCAUUCAUUGAUUUACUAGAGUAGAUUUGAUUGGCACUGUAUUUGAUCACAUGCUCUGCUUAGGCAAUACAUGUUGUUCAGCCAGCAUCUCUAGGAUUGGUUAUGUUGGAAACAAUUUAAUGCCAGUAUUGAUAUUCCAUUCACUAAACUAACAGAGAUCCAAACUGCAGGUUGCAGAAGGUGAUGUACCAAUAGUUGCAUCACAUGGCUUAGUCCUGUACAUGAGAAUUGCUUGAUCAGAUAUUCAGAUUCAGUCUUAUCUUCAUAGUUUUUCUAAUUGUUCGAUCUUGUGCAGAGCUGAAAUUGAAUUGUACAAGGAGCUUGAACCAUCGACUCGCUUACUGAUCUUGAAAGCAAUAUGCGACAUACGUGUCGAGAUUGUUAGAAAGCUUAUUUCACUAUGCUGAGAAGCGAUACAGGGGCAUAAAGCAAGCGAGCAGGUGUGUGCAGCGACCUGCUACUGCACUAAUAGCCUUGACAGAGCACCGGGGCCGGCUCGACAGGGCAUGCCGCCUGCCGGUGGACACCUGGAUGUGCGCGCCGGAGAUGGACCCGCUUCGUUGCCUCUGCAGCCUAGACAGAGCUCCGCCAGUGCUGAGACGUGCUCCCGUCGUUGUUGGCUGUCGAAUUUGCAAUGCAAUCCAUCCCUAUGUCGAUGUCCUAACCACUUCGUACUUCGGCACAAUCCGCAGAACAUAGCAGCUGCCGCAAUUUACCCAUUGAUUUCUUGGAGUGAUCCAAACCUAGGAAAGCCUGCUACUUGUGCAAACAACAGGAUGUAAGCAAUGGAGAAACUCGUGCAGAUGAUGAUUGAAGCAUUCUUCACGAAUUUUCCAACCUAAACUGGCUACAGAGUUGGGGAAAAGACGAGUCUAGGCUCUUGAUGAACACAUCUUCUUUCCCAGAUGACUAACAGUUGGCACCUCUAUACAUUACAUCAGGCCAACGCUACAAAGCCCCUGUUUGGGAAUAUUUGACUCAGAGGACAAGCCCAAGCUAGCUGAUCAAAAGGCACACAAUCUGUGUAUGCAGCAAGAGUUGUUGGCGGCUAAAAUCAUGAAGCAACGGACUAACAAAUUGUGGCCAGCAUACACGCAGGCGAAGAUAGCCAAUAUUAUUUGAAAUUAUCAGGCAGUGGCCCUCUUCAAGUCCUACUUUGGUGGAACUUUUGAUCAAGAUGCUAUCAGGAAUAACUUGGUGCUAAUAUACAAACUUCUUGAUGUGCAGAGAUUAUGGACUUUGGUUAUCCUUAGAAUCUCUCACCUAAAUUUUUGAAGUUAUACAUAACCCAGGAACGUGUACGGUCGCCAUUUUCCUCCAAGCCUUCAGAUAAGCCUGUUCUAAAUGCGACCCUGCAAGUUAUCGGUGUUGUUGGUUGGAGAAGAGAUGGUAUUGUGUACAAGAAGAAUGAGGUAUUUGAAUUAAAUUGUAGGGAGGCUUCAGUUGUAUUCAGAAAAAAAACAUAGCACCAACAUUUAUAAUGGUCCUAGGUUCCUAUCAGAGCGGGGGCUACUAGCAAUGCCAUCAUCCUACAUACAUUUUAAAAUGCAUCUCAGUUCUAAUACAUAUUGUACAUGAACCAGCAUUCGUGUUAGAACAAUGGCCCAUAUUUUCCUCUGUUUUUGUUUCUUUGUUGUCUUUAAUGUCAUCUCAUUUUUACAUUCUGUUCUUCUCGCAUGUUAGGUUUUCUUGGACAUUAUUGAGAGCAUAAACCUUCUUAUGUCUUCUAAAGGGAUUUUAUGGACCAUCAAAUUUUACUUAUCUGGUCUGAGGUUUCUCGUGUCUUUCCUGUUCAGCUAUUUGAUGUCCAUUGUGUAUAUUUCUUACAUUUCUGCAGGGCGUGUUCUAUGAUGUGACGUGACUGGAAAGAUUCCAAUGAAGUGUUUCCUUUAUGGAAUGCGCCUAUCUGAAGUUGGGAAUAAAUGCCAAAAUUUAAAUGGCUUAGUAACAUCAUUUUUUCUUUGGGAUGUGUGUCUCCUAUUGAGUGUCAUGGCUAUUGGCAUUCUUAUAUUCAACAUAAAAAUGUAUUCAUAGCUUUUUCAGGCUAUUGGCAUUCUUAUAUUCAGCAUAAAAAUAUAUUCAUAGCUUUUUCAGAGUACGCAUAAAUGCUCAAUAAACUAUUGCAUAGAAUUUUAAUUAAGCGACAUGUGAGAAUUUUUCUGGUUAUAACCUUUAAGAGGAAAUUAGUUUAUUUUGGUAGUAUGUGUCUCCUAACUUGAAUGAAUGCAAACUUUGUAUGUUAAGGUUAUAAGCACGCUUACUUGGAUGGUUGGAUGCACAAACCUCUAACCACAUUAGUGAACUACAGUGUCAUUUUUCUGGCCCUGUAAAAUUGUAAUUAUGCAUAUUCAAUGCGACAUUUGCACGCUGUAAUUCUGUAUUCGGUGCUAAUAUGCUCGCUACCAUGUUGGUCUUCUGAAGCCUUCAUCUCUGCAGGGUCAAACUUUUGAUUUUGGCACUUAGUAAACUGCAUCUUGUGCAUUGGAGGAGGUAGCCCCUGGACUGGUGAAGACGUGAAGGGCGACACGAGGAGGCUUGCGGUGGUUCCAGGAGCAUCUCUUCGACAAGUAGCAGUGCACUACGUUGGACAGCUACCAACCGAGACGGCCGGCUGCCUGACAAGGACACCAUUUCUGGUCUUACAGUCCUGGAGCGGUGAGCAUCUGAGCUUCCAUCACCGAUCUGAAUAACAAACUUGCGGCGCUCCUUAGCGUCACUGAUUGAAACAUUAGCAACAACAAUACUUGCUUCAGGCUUAAGGAGUAAAGAACGGCAAGCAUGGAUGACAGAGGGACAACACCUGCUCCAAAUUUGAAAAAUCCAGGAGGUUUACAACAGGCAUGCAAGGUCCUCGAAAAGUUCAAGUAAGUGCUAUACGUGACGUAGAGGAGAAUGCUAUAUAGGACAUGCACAUGUAGUUGCUACUUCUAAAGAACGGCACAAGUUUGGACCAAACGCUGGGAGAAUACAAAAGGUAUAAUUGCAUAAAGUUUACUACUGUAAUAGAUCCAGGUUGCAGUGAUGAAGAGGACAAUGAUGUGUAGGACAUAGUGGUCGUUACUUCUAUAGAUUCAGAAGGAUGCAGGUUCGGAUCAAUUGUCAAGAUGAUACAAAAGGUGUUGCACAAAUUUUACAUACUAUGUUGGGUGAUUUGUUUGGCAUUCAUUCUCUGUUAUGCCUGAUGCAUGUGUCUUAAGCCUACUAAUAACUUUUUGGAUCAAUGGUAAAUCUACUGAACAAA